CAGCCAUUCCUGAUGUUCCCAGAACCAACCAUCAAAUUCCCAACACUUUGACCACUUCCAGAAGAUUGCCUUAAUAGGGUCUCCUGAGGCUGUUGCUUGUAUUAAAACUUCCAAUUGUGAGAGCAACGGCAAGAGUGAGAUGCAUGGCAGAAUGGAGACAGAGGCUUCACAAGUGCAGAGUAGGCAGACCACACAGGAGUCUGGAUCAAGGCUUCUCACAGCUUAACGUCCAUGAGAAUCACCUGGGAAUCUCGUUAAACUUCAGAUGCUGAUCAAUUAGGUCUGGAGCCGGGCCAGAGCUUUUGCCUUUCCAACAAGCUCCCAGGUGAUGCUGAUACUGCUGGUCUGCAAAUCAUACUACUUUUUGUAACACCAUUUGAAGAGUUAACUUAAUAAAUGGCAGCUAGAAUCCACCUUCCGGAGUGCUGGAGUAGCAAUGAGAACCCUGCCACUCCCUAUCAAAAGGUGGAGUCUUUUUUCUCCCCUUGAACUUGGUGGACUUGUGACUGUUCUGCACAUCAAAGAAGGAAAGAAAUGAUGUUCUGUGAUUCCCAAGGCUAUGUCAUAGAAAGGAUACAGCUUCUGCCUGGCUCUCUCUUUUUGGAAUGCAUGCUCUGGGGAACCCAGAUAGCGUACUUCAAGAAGGCCAAACUAAUCCAUUUGGAGAGUUCACAAGGAGAGACCCAUAUGGAGAGGAAUUGGAGCCUUCCUAGCCAACAGCCAGCAACAACUGCCAGAAUGAAUGAGUCUUCAGAUGAUUCCAGUUCCCAGCCUUUGAAGUUUUCCAGCUUCAGACAUUGUGGAAUAAAGAGAGAAGCCAUCCUGCUGUGCCCUGUCCAAACUCCUGAUCCACAGAAUCUGUGAGCAUAAUAACCUAUUUUUUCACACCACUAAAUUUUGGGGUAAUUUGUUACACAGCCAUAGGACCAGGAACAAUAAAACUGCUACACUUAAGAUUUGCAUUUCAACUAAAAUCAAAAAGAUUUUAAAGUGGCUUAUAAAAUUAAAUAUAAUGCAAACAGGGCCCAGAUAAAACAGAAUAGAGACUCAUAAAACAAAGCAGAAACAACUGUCAGGCAUUCAACACAGUAUUAUAACAACAUUGAUAGAUAACAGUUUUCUUCCAUGUGUGAGGCACUGCAAGGAGCCAUGAGUCAAUGCUCCCAAUAGCCCUAGAAGGCUACUGGUAUUAUCUCUAUUUUACAUAUCACGUGCAAAUCAGAAAUAAAAUACCCUAAAACUAAUAAAACUAUGGAAAACACAUUUUCCAUACUUUCAUCUUGUUUUGUUGAUUCAGAUGGCACUUUUCGGAUCCUUAUAAAGGAUCAUCACCAUGACUAUUGCUAAUCUAUACUAGUAGGCGUUGGCAAACUUUUUCUUAAAGGGCCAGAUGAACAUUUUAGUCUCUGAAGGUUAUAUGUAGCCUUUGCUGCAUAUUCUUCUUUGUUUGUUUGUUAUAGCCCUUUAAAAAUGUAAAACCAUUCUUAGACUGUGCUCACCACAAAAACAUUCUGUGGGCUGGCCCUUGGGCCAUAGUUUGCCCAACAGACCACUACAGGGAAAUGUUGAAUACUAGAAGUUUAAAUUAAUAAACCCAUUUUUAUUAUAAUACUUAUAAUGGCAUCUACAGUUAUACUAAAUUAAGAAAAUAUCGUUUCUGGCUCCAGCCUACUAUUAUCCACUGAAACCACAAGCUUCCAUGAACUGUUGGUAAAUGAAAAUGUAGCUCCAAACAUCCACAAUUUCCAUUAUAAUAAAUGUCUAUUCAUAACUGACAUUCACCAACACUGAAAAGGUUUGGAAGACUGUCUGAAAGAAAUGGUCUCUCUAGGGUCUAACUGCUUUUCCAGGCAUACACAUGGAUAUCUCUUUGUCUUUAUUGAGAUAGCCCAGUGUGACUGAUAAAACACUGAACACUUCUAACCUCUAGUGUCAAUCCUUUACAAGAAAAUGUUUAUUAUUCUUGGCAGGAAAUGAUGGAAACUGGUGACAAAUAGCCGGACUACCUUCACAUGUAAGUGAACUGGAAUUUUGAGGGAACAGUUCUCCCUAGUAAAUUUGUCUACACAGAGCUUAAUCAACCAAAUUUACAGCUGUUAACAGGUUGUGCCUCUGUAUUCCCAAACAUAUAAAUAAACUUCUUAAUCAGAAUGAAAACAGGUUCAAGGUCCAGUUGUUUAAACUGGAAUUGGUACAGCCAGGACCCAACUGCAGUUAAAGUGACUAUCAAGGAGAAUCAUAAUCUUGGUAGAAAAGUUGUUUUCCAGUUUCCUCAAAGCUACAAAGAUACUGCUUGACAAACACUUCUGUGAUCACUUAAAACCAAAGUUAUAUGAUCUCAUCUAAAACACCCAAUCUAAUGCCAAAUCAAACCCACUAAUUUUCAAGUUGAAGUUCCAAAUUAGGAAGAAGCUAAUUACUUAAAUUCAAAUUGGAAGGGGAAAGAUUUUUAAGUGCCUAUAAAUCAAAAGGCCCAUAGAAACUGGAAUGAGUAUUGGAGUGAGGAAAUGAAAUCACAUAUAUAAAAGGUUUUAUUCAUUUUGCUUAGGAAUGCAAAAGUAAAUAAAGUUUAAGUAAAUGAAAAGCAGUAAGCACAGGUUCAUAGACAGCCCUUUUUACAGACUAAGAAGAGAUAGCUGAACACUGGUAACUAAGGUGUUGGCCAUGUCAUGAUAAUAGAAACAAUUUAUCUUGCUGAAUUAAUUAGCGAAAACAGUCAACAAGAAAAGUAACCAAACCAAUCACCAAAAAGGUACAGCCAAUUUACACCCUUCCAUUUUUGAAAAUCCCUGGAAAAUUAGAAGUGUUAUUUCACGGCAUCUGACACUUUUAUUAUUGUGUUUGACACUCUACAUUUCUUUCACCAAAAGAUCAUCCAAAAGACAAAGAAAUUUAAAUUUCUUUGUAUUGAGUACAAACAAAACAGAGCAGCUAACCAUACAGAAAAAAACUAUCACCCAUAAAAAUAGCACUUUUGAGCCUAUAUUACUACACAACUGACAAAUUCUAUUUAUUAUAAGUUGAGCUUAAACAAUGCUAUAUCCUGUUUGAAACCUCAAUUUUAUGAUACUCAAAUGCUAUAUCUGCCAAAUUCUACUUUUCCUCAAAUUAUUCCAAUAUGACUUCAAACUAAGUGUCCACAGUAGAAGCUGAUGAGAAGAAAUAGCUCAGGUAUAUACAUUUUCAAAGUUCUGGGAAGGGAUCCCAUAACAUUUAAAAUAAUGACAUUUAAGCACAAGUAUCUAUUUAUAAGCAUCUGAAUUCUUCUGACAAAGGAAAUAUUUUUAUACUGACAAAACCGAGCCCAUUACUCUAAAACCUUACAUAUUUGUUAGAAAAGCAGGGGAAAAUUUGGUCUGAAUAAAUAAAAUGAAUAAAUGAUUCAGGAUCCCAAACAACUCUCAGCUUCUCCAAUGAAGCUGUAGGUCUGAUGACCCAAGGUUUCAAUGAUCUUUUUCUAUGAACUUCUAUGCAUCUAUGGAAUAAUCACAUGGCCAAGCAAUUGAUUAUAUAUCGAUUUCUAUUGUUUUCAAGACAUUUCUUAUGUUGCUUUAGUCUUUAAAAUCUUUUGAACCUCAAAGCCAUCUAAACACUUCAAUAAGCAAUUCUUAAGAACUUACUUCCUUUAAAACUUUCCCUAGUGCUGUGGAAAGGUAUGUUCCAAUUAAAUACAAAAAUGAUUGAAUAUCAAGUUAAGGAUCUUCACUUAAUUCAUAGAUAAUGGGAAGCUACUGAAUGAAAGUGAAAUGGUAGCAGCAAUAUCUGAAGAAGAGUAAUCUAGAUGUCUUGUACAGGUUGGAUUAGAAGGUUGAAAGACUGGAGGAAAAACAAAAUAAAAUUAAGAAACUAUUCAAUUGUCCACAAAAUAGGUGGCUGGUGCCUGAGCUAGAGUGGUGGGAAGGAAAGUAGAAGUGGGCAUAGAAACAGAUAAAUAGAUAGAGGGAGCCUAAAAAUUGUCACAAACUGGUAAUUUCUUAAGUGUGAGAAUAAGAUAGAAAGCAUGGUCAAAGAUGAUUAGUUUCAGUCCAGCAAACAUUUACAGAGAACCUACUUUGUACAAGGCAUUCAAAAAUGAAGUUUGAUCAUAAUCAAUACUAUAAUAUAGGUAUAAACAACAUAUUAUCAUAGUCCAGAGGAUGACACAAUCAGUCCUGAGUAGAAUUUUGGGAAGACCAACAUUUUAAGCCUGACUGUUAGAAUAAUGAUACGUAUGCCAAAUGUUGUCUAUUCGUUCUUCAAAAGGUACUUUAAUCCACCUCCCUUAAAUCUCUUUCUACAAAGUCCAAGCACAGGUCUUCUUUUACCUGUAAUACUUCAUUAGACUCCCAGCAUCAAACACGCUCUCUCACCCAGCUGCUCCUCAGUAUAGCAAAUCAAGUUAGUUACCAAGUUUUAGCAGACUGCUUUCCUCCUGCUACUCUCUUACUACUCUAAAGGAGAGGACUUUGGUGACUUUCAGUGAUUUUGAGGAUCAACCUGUUGCUGCCCAAACAGUCACUUCUUUAAAGCCUCUCAUCCUACUUUUCAUCUGAGCUCUUCUCAUUUUGGUCAUAAGAGUUUUACAUUCCUUUUUAUCCAGGUGAAAGCGAUGUAUCCUCAUUGUAAAGGUGGUUUGAGGAGCACAUGACUUAUGAGUCAGAAAAUGUGAGACUGCAUACUGGCUCUACCAUCUCCUGGUUAAAUGAUAUUGGACAAGUCCGUCUGUACUCUUAUCUCUGUACCUGAAGAAACAGAGCCAACCUCACAGGGAUAUUUUGAGGAUUUAUGUGAAGUUUUCAUAAAGUGAGAAGAGACAGGACAUAAACUUCUGUAAAUAUGAAGAUGAUUAUAGAUCCAUAUUAAGUAAAGUCAAUUCUUUACCUAAUGAGUAAUGGUUCAGAGCCUAGAUCAGGUAUUGGCUAUUCCAAGUUUCUGACUCCAUUUGUUUUGGCAUGCCAGGCUAAUGGGGCAGGGUAGAGAGGCACGUUAGAUAAUUUUUAAUCUAUAUCCAUGCAGUGAUGUCCCAAUACUCCUGAAGCUUUUGGCUUUGUAUCUCUAUCCAAGCCAAAUAAAUUGAAGUUUUCAUCUACAGAGAAAAACAAAAGUCUAACUGACCUUUUUAAGCUUGAUUAGUGUAGAAUUUCCAAUAACUGCUCCCCACUCUGUUUUUAAAAACAUUUGUAGUUUGGGAAACUAGGCUCUUUUUAAUUCACUACUUUCUUCUCUAUGUAAAGGUUCUGCUCAAGUCCUCUAUCCAAUCACGUGUUAACUGUGUAAAACAAUUCUGUGCAACAGAACUUUCUGCAAUAGAUAUGUUCCGUAUCUGCACUAUCCAAUAUAGUAGUCACUGGCCACCUGUGGCUAUUGAGCACCUGUAAUGCAGCUAGUGCAUCUGGAGAACUAAUUUUUUACUUUAAUCUUAAUUAAUUUAUAUUUAAAUGGCCACAGGUGUCCACUGGCUACCAUUUUGGACAGCUCAGGUCUGAUGUGUGCCGGAGACAUACCCAUUAAACUUGUAAAAUCUACUGACAAGGCUGAGCCACAGUGUCCAUUCCACCCCAACUAUAAAAAUUCUGCUGCUGCUCUUCAGAGUACAGAGCUAGUUCCCAUAGGUGUACCUGCAUAACCAUGGUUUCUGUCGUUGCUCAUGGUGCUCCCUCUGCUUAGAACAUCCUCCCCCUCACUGUUAUGCCAAGCAAAUUCCCAUUCAUCUUUCAAAGCCAGUUCAAAUGUUACCUUCCCCAAGAGCCUCCUUUAAAUUUUUUUGAGAGUAACACAGCAGUGAAAAGAGCCAUAGCUGAAGAAAAAGGCAGAUUGAAGUUGAAUCCCAGAUUAAAGUUUGGCCCUUACUAGCCAGCAAUUACUAUACCUUGAACAAAUCUUGAGCCUCAAUUUUCUUCUCUAUAAAAUAGUAAAAAAAUAAAAAAAUACUACUUUUGCAAAUUUGUUGUAAGAAUUAGAAAUUCUGAGCAGCAUUACAUUAUGGCUAGCGUUUAUUAAACAUCUACUUGUAUCGGUCAUUAUGGAAGUACAACACGUGAAUUUUUUCAUUUCACUGAUAGCAACCCUAUAAAGUAAGCAAUAUCCCUUUACCUAUUCAUCCAUAUAUUCAGCACUUUUAUUCACUUAUUCAUUCAACAAAACAUUUGAGGGCCUAAUGUGCCUGGCGAGAAACUGAGGAUCAAGGAGUAAACAAAAAAAGUCCUAGCACUCAGAGAUCUUAUAUUCUAGUGGAAAAUAUAAACAAUAAGCAAGAAAACAGAUAUAUAACAUCAGUAGUGUUAAGUGUUAAUGGAGAAAAAUAAGGCAAGAUAAAUAGAGAAUAAUGGAGGAUGCUAUUUUAUAGAUGAGGUUGCCUAGCAAGGCCCCACCACAGAGGUGAUACUUGGGCAGGGGACUAACUAAAGCAUGAGGAUGAGCUAUGUGCAAACAUGUAGAAAUAAUGCUCCCAGGAGAAGGAACAACAAUUUACUGAGAGCUAUUACUUAGUAGAUCCUAUGCUAGACACUGGAAACACAUGAGUGAACCAGGAUUUUACAUUAUUGUAAAUAAAUGAACAAAACCAUAAUGCCUUAGAAGUGACAAGUUCAAUGAAGAAAAGGGAAAGAUAUAAGCAAAUAGAGAGUGAUGGAAGGAAGCACUGUUAUUUCUGCUUUAGAGAUGAGGACGCUGAGAGGUUAAAUAACAAGCUGAUAAAUUAUAAAGCAGGCAUUUAAACCCAUAAAGUAGCUCAUUCUUUCAAUUACUAUACCAUUCUCUCCUGCCUAUACUAUAAAGUCUCCACUGGGAACUACAGAAUGGCAAAAAUCAUGGUACAUUCUUUGCUGUACCUCUAAUACCAGUACAAUGAUACACAGGAGAUGCAAAAUAAGGUUGAAUUAACUAAGAUUUCCACUCUAGAUGUAAUAUGAAAACUCCAUUAUAAUUAAAGAGACCAUGACUCUAAAACCAGGAAGAUGCCUCUCCUUAUUCAGGGAAAUCCCAUUAACAUAUUCACAACAAUAAAUAAAAUAUAACAUUUAGGUUCUGGAAGGAGGUUAGAGUGAGAGAGAAAUAGUCAAAGGGUCCUAGUGCUUAUUACUGCAACACAAAACUACUUGUAUGGGCUUGGCAAAGGGUGGGAUGGGAGACUGUAAUAAAUGGGGGAGGAAUAACAAAGUUAAGGAAUAACAAAUUUAUCAUCACACAGAUGUUAACCAAACUGGUGACAAGUUAGCAAUAUAUAUCAGGCUUAUUGACACUAUUUGCCCAAGUAUUUUCUUCAUUGUAAACUCUUAAGAUUUAGAAUACUUCAAGUUUCAAAGCUGCUUCCUAUCACUUAGCAAACUAGUUCACAACUAUCAGCACUUUAACUCAUAAACCGAAGGAAGAAAAUCCCAGGGCCAUAUGAACAAAUUCUCACCAUGCCAUCAUAACCUGUUUAAUCUGUGUGAAAACAUCUUAUUCGUAAUCACUGUACUUUUUUCCUAAUUAAAAAGCAAUAUAUAUCUAUUCUUGAAGAUCUGGAAAAUUCAGAACUAUCUAAAGGAGAAAAUAUUACCCAAAGAUAACUGCUAUCAAUGAGAUGGGGUAUUUAUUUCCAAUAUAAAGAGGUGUUUAUUUUUAUAUAUGUAUAUGCAUAUACAUGUUUAAUGGUUGUUGUGUGGGUGAUUGUUGUUUUUUAUGGAACUGUUACACUUUUUCACAUAGCUCUGUAUAUUGCUAUUUUUCAUUUAACAUUAAUAUUACUUGAAGAGCAAUUUCCCCACAUUUUAAAAUAUUAAUUUUAAUAACUGUAAAAUAUUCUACUGUAAUUAACCAUCUCUCUGUUGUUGAUUCCAAAUUUAUGCCAUUAAAGUUGAUGUUGGGAUGAACAUCACUGCACUUAAUCUGUAUUAAAAAUAAUGAUUAUUUUCUUAGAAUAAAUUCCAAGCAGUAAAACUACUGGUUUAAAUUAUACAGAUAAAUUAUAUCAAAUUUUAUAAGCGUUGUCAAAUGUCUUUGACAAGGCAACGCCAACUUACAUUUCUGCUACUGAGUUAUGAGGCUUUCCAUUCCAUACUUGCCCACAAAAGGUAUCAUAUUUUUUGAAAAUAUGCAAGGCAAAAAAUAACAUGUCACUAUUCUAAUUUGCAUUUAUUUUAUCAAUGACGCUAAAUAUUUUUUUUCUAUUACCAGUUGUAUUUCUUCUGUGAAUUCUUUUUAAAAAAAUAUUAUUUGGCCAUUUUCUUUUGGGGUCAGCACUUUUUUCUAUCAUUGAUUUUUAAGAACACUUUACAUAGAGAGAGAUUUGCCCUUUAUUAACAUACAUGUUACAAAUAUUUCUACCUCUUUAUUGCCGGCCUUUAAAGCUUUUCUAACGUAGAGAUGUUUAAGUUUUUCAUGUAGUCAUAUUUAUCAGCACUUUGUUAUUAAUCUGCUCCAUUUAAUUUAUGCUGGAAAAGUACUUACUACCUUUCUCUUAAAAUUGGGUUGGAGCUACUGAAAACUACUUACACCUAGAAAAUCUACGGAUGAAAUACCAGCAAUAUGAGGGAAUAAUCCAACCUAGAACUCUCCAACCACUAACAAAGAUAUACAGUUACUCUCACUUCAAUCAAAAUAUAUAGAAAUAUUAAAUAAGAUACACAAAGGUUUUUGGUUUAAAAACACAGAUGAGUUUCAAAUCAAUACAGGGAAAUCCCCCAAAUGCAAGAUGUAAAACAAGAAAAUCAGAGGACAAAAAUACAGCUGUCCCUGUCCCUCAGUAUUGGUGCGAGACUGGCUCUAGGAGGGAGCGCCCACCCCGCCCCAAUACCAAAAAUCUGUGGACAGAAAUUUUGAUUCAUAGCUAGUUGAAUCCACAGAUGCAAAAUCCAUGGAUAGGAAGGGCUGACUGUAUUACACUUCCAUGGUGAAGUUUAUUCCUAAGUAUUUUAUUCUUUUUCUUUCUAUUAUAGAUAGAAUUCUUUUCUUAAUUUCAUUUUCACAUUUCAUGGCUAGUAUAUAGAAACACAACUGAUUUGGGUACAUUGAUCUUGUAUCAUGUAACCUUGGAGAAUUCAUCUGUUAUCUCAAAUAGGUUUUAUUUUUCAUUUGGGGGAAUUCUUUAUGGGGGGUUAUAUUUAUAAGAUCGCGCUAUCUGCAAAUAGAGAUAAUUCUAGUUCUUCCUUUCCCAUAUGGUUGUCUUUUCUUUUUCUUGCCUAAUUGCCCUGGCUAGAACCUCCAGCACAAUGUCGAAUGAAGUGGCAAGAGCCAUUACUGAAAGAAUUUAAAGAUAUUAAAAAAAAAAAGGAAAGAUGUUCAUGGACUUGAAUACUUGAUAUUGUUAAGAUACCAAUACUCCCCUAAGAUUCAAUAUAAUCUUUAUCAAAAUUCCAGUUGUUGUUUUUUUUAAAAACAGAAAUGGGGCUUCCCUGGUGGCGCAGUGGUUGAGAAUCUGCCUGCCAAUGCAGGGGACACG